AAAUAUUGUACGGAUUGAAUGCUGUUUACCAUUUCUUUUGUUUUUUCUAGGUGAUGAAGCCCAAUGAUGCACAGUUAUGGCAACGCAACAACCUCCCCCAGAGAAGUUAUUGUACAAGUGUUGCAGCAGUGAUGUCAAAGAGCUGAAGACAUCUCGAACAGUUUGACAUCAAGCACAAGUGACAAGCCUAUCCUCUUCUUGCACCGAGUCAUCACCAUGUCCCAAAAUCACAUUAUUCAGAGCUGGGAGCCUGUGCCGGCGGAUGUGAGG
rnacentral:lncRNA from 1 species